CAGGAGAGAAAGUACUGCCCAGAAGCUAAAGUGUAGAUCAAACGCAUAAUGGCUGAGGUAGUAGUUUCUUGAACUU
ensembl:miRNA MIR4500 microRNA 4500